rnacentral:rRNA from 1 species
UACAGAGGUCCCAAGCGUUGUUCGGAUUCACUGGGCGUAAAGGGUGCGUAGGUGGUGAGGUAAGUCGGAUGUGAAAUCUCCGAGCUCAACUCGGAAAUGGCAUUGGAAACUACCUUGCUCGAGGGUUGGAGGGGGGACUGGAAUGCUUGGUGUAGCAGUGAAAUGCGUAGAUAUCAAGCGGAACACAGUGGCGAAGGCGAGUCC